rnacentral:pre_miRNA from 15 species
UCGCGAGUUCCGUGCUUCCUUACUUCCCAUAGUGCUUUAAACGUAUGGAAUGUAAAGAAGUAUGGAGCGAACGC